AAUGGGGGAAACCCUGACGCAGCAACGCCGCGUGAGUGAUGAAGGCCUUCGGGUUGUAAAGCUCUGUCUUUUGGGACGAUAAUGACGGUACCAAAGGAGGAAGCCACGGCUAACUACGUGCCAGCAGCCGCGGUAAUACGUAGGUGGCAAGCGUUGUCCGGAAUUACUGGGCGUAAAGAAUGCGUAGGUGGAUAUGCAAGUCAGAUGUGAAAUACCCGGGCUCAACUUGGGUGCUGCAUUUGAAACUAUAUAUCUAGAGUGCAGGAGAGGAAAGCGGAAUUCCUAGUGUAGCGGUGAAAUGCGUAGAGAUUAGGAAGAACACCAGUGGCGAAGGCGGCUCUCUGGACCGAUACUGACGCUGAGACGCGAAAGCGUGGGUAGCAAA
rnacentral:rRNA from 1 species